UCCUGGUUAACCCAGGCAGUCUCGUUAGAGUUCCCGCCUUCACGCGCUGGCAACUAACGAUAAGGGUUGCGCUCGUUGCUGGACUUAACCAAACACCUCACGGCACGAGCUGACGACAGCCAUGCAGCACCUAUGUAAAGACUCUUUCGAGAAAUACCAUCUCUGAUAUCGUCCUCUACACUUCGAGCCCAGGUAAGGUUCUUCGCGUUGCAUCGAAUUAAACCACAUGCUCCACUGCUUGUGCGGGCCCCCGUCAAUUCUUUUGAGUUUCACCCUUGCGAGCGUACUCCCCAGGCGGUAUACUUAAUGCGUUAGCUCCGGUACAGAAAGGGUUGAGCCUCCCUACACCUAGUAUACAUCGUUUAAGGCAUGGACUAC
rnacentral:misc_RNA from 1 species